rnacentral:rRNA from 1 species
UACGGAGGAUGCGAGCGUUAUCCGGAUUUAUUGGGUUUAAAGGGUGCGUAGGCGGGCUUUUAAGUCAGCGGUAAAAAUUCGGGGCUCAACCCCGUCCGGCCGUUGAAACUGGGGGCCUUGAGUGGGCGAGAAGAAGGCGGAAUGCGUGGUGUAGCGGUGAAAUGCAUAGAUAUCACGCAGAACUCCGAUUGCGAAGGCAGCUUACUAAGCCAUAACUGACACUGAAGCACGAAAGCGUGGGGAUCAAACAGG